rnacentral:rRNA from 1 species
CAAACGACUCUCGGCAACGGAUAUCUCGGCUCACGCAUCGAUGAAGAACGUAGCAAAAUGCGAUACUUGGUGUGAAUUGCAGAACCCCGUGAACCAUCGAGUUUUUGAACGCAAGUUGCGCCCGAAGCCAUUCGGCUGAGGGCACGUCUGCCUGGGCGUCACGC